UACGAAGGUGGCUAGCGUUACUCGGAAUCACUGGGCGUAAAGGGCGCGUAGGCGGCGUUUUAAGUCGGGGGUGAAAGCCUGUGGCUCAACCACAGAAUGGCCUUCGAUACUGGGACGCUUGAGUAUGGUAGAGGUUGGUGGAACUGCGAGUGUAGAGGUGAAAUUCGUAGAUAUUCGCAAGAACACCGGUGGCGAAGGCGGCCUGCUGGGCAGUAGCUGACGCUGAGGCGCGACAGCGUGGGGAGCAAACAGG
rnacentral:rRNA from 1 species